UAUUACCAGAAGCGACGGCAGGAUGAAGGUCAGACCAAAGAAUCUUACCUGACGAGCCGAGAGGUGGUGCAUGGCGGCCGUCAGCUCGUGGUGCGAACUGUCCGGUUAAGUCCGGUAACGAGCGAGACCCUUGCGAAUAGUUGCCACCGGCUUUAGCGAUAAGCCGAGCACUCUAUUCGGACCGCCUCUGUUUAAAGAGGAGGAAGGAGGGGGCGACGAUACGUCAGUAUGCCCUGAAUCUCCUGGGCUACACGCGGCAUACAAAGGUCGGUACAAUGAGAUGCAAUGCCGAGAAGGCAAAACGACC
rnacentral:rRNA from 1 species